rnacentral:rRNA from 1 species
CUCAGUUCGGAUUGCAGGCUGCAACUCGCCUGCAUGAAGUCGGAAUUGCUAGUAAUCGCGGAUCAGCAUGCCGCGGUGAAUACGUUCCCGGGCCUUGUACACACCGCCCGUCACACCAUGAGAGCCGGGAACACCCGAAGUCCGUAGUCUAACCGCAAGGAGGACGCGGCCGAAGGUGGGUUUGGUAAUUGGGGUGAAGUCGUAACAAGGUACC